rnacentral:rRNA from 1 species
AUUGAACGCUGGCGGUAUGCUUUACACAUGCAAGUCGAACGAGUGGCGGACGGGUGAGUAAUGUCUCGGAACUUGCCCAGUAGCGGGGGAUAACUACUGGAAAGCGUGGCUAAUACCGCAUACAAUUGGAUCGGCCGAUAUCGGAUUAGCUAGUUGGUGGGGUACAGGGUCACCUAGGCACCGAUCCGUAGCUGGUUUGAGAGGAUGACCAGCCACACUGGGACUGAGACACGGCCCAGACUCCUACGGGAGGCAGCAGUGGGGAAUUUUGGACAAUGGGCGCAACCCUGAUCCAGCCAUCCCGCGGGUGUGAGAAGGCCUUCGGGUUGUAAAGUACUUUUGGCCGUGAGGCGUUAUCUGCAGAAUAAGCACCGGCUAACUACGUGCCAGCAGCCGCGGUAAUUC